AGCUUAUUAGCUCAAAUGGUAGAGCAAUGUACCAUUGUACAUGGAUGUAGGUUCAAGUCCUACAUGGGCUA
rfam:Beta vulgaris subsp. vulgaris chromosome 3, whole genome shotgun sequence.